AAAAAUCAUUAUUAUAUGAGUUGUGCCUUCUUGUUAUGAUAAAUUGAGAAUCGCAUUACUUCUUAUCUUUAUUGCCAUAUAAGAGAAGUGCCUGCUGAUAACAUUUUUGAGGGAAGUGCUAAUAUCCACACUUAUACAAAAAAAUGGCAUGCCAAAUCAAAUUCUAAAGAUUGUUUAUUCAACAAUUCUAUAAGCCAGAGUAGGAAAUGGAAAGGCUGACAAGAAGAGUAGUAACAGUCCAUCAAACUAAAGAAGCAACAGGCAUCAUGGAGCGUGUGAGGAAGUUUUCAUGCUCAACGGAAUCACCUCAAGAUCAGAUGGAGAUAAUCCAGUCCUCAUCAAACUAUACUUGGAUAGGAAUGAUUUUUUAAGAAAACAGAACACUGAUAUAAAAUACGUAGUUGUAAAACUUUCAUGUUGCCUACACAAAGGCGCAUAUGUUCUCUAAUCCUGCAUAUGAAGUAGAAAAGCAGAGUUAUGGGAACAAUGCAUCGAAAAUGUAGUAGAGAACAUCCACAUUGCAGUGACUGACAUAACAGUGGUUUUUAUCUACAAUUGAAGUCGUGCAUGAACUGCAUGUGGGUUGGUUACAAAUGUGACCAAUACACAAGGUAAACAUUACAGAGACAAAAACCCACACCAAUUAAAAGCAGAAAACAGCCUGAAAGUCAAUUCACUGAAAUUUGUAGCAAAAGAAAAUUGUUGCAUAAUUAGUCUACUUACAGCUGCCGUGUACACUCUUAGAACAUGUUUGUCAUCCAUGCUGUUUCCGCUGUGUGGUGGUAGUUGUUCAAUAGUUUAAAAAAAAUUAUAUCUUGAAAAAUGAGUUGACAUAACAGAUAGAAA
rnacentral:misc_RNA from 1 species